rnacentral:rRNA from 1 species
UACGUAGGGUGCGAGCGUUGUCCGGAAUUAUUGGGCGUAAAGCGCACGUAGGCGGUUCGUUAUGUCGGAUGUGAAAGCCCUUGGCUUAACCGAGGAAGUGCAUCCGAAACUGGCGAGCUAGAGUACUAAAGAGGAUCGCGGAAUUCCCGGUGUAGAGGUGAAAUUCGUAGAUAUCGGGAGGAACACCGGUGGCGAAGGCGGCGAUCUGGGUAGAUACUGACGCUGAGGUGCGAAAGCGUGGGGAGCAAACAGG